GCUUUACGACUGAGCCACCCAGGCACCCUCAAGCUGCCCUCAUCUUAAAUCAGGUUCGCACAAUCAGACCUUGAGACCAUGACUCACUUGCCAGUAAUACAUCAAUGAAGUGUUCCCAGGAGAAGGAAGUGGGGGAAGCAGGAAGAGACCAGGGAAAGACCUGAGCACGAGAGUGACCCCAAGUCUCAGCCUCAGCCUGAUCCAUGGGUGUUCUGGAGCACAAAUCAUCUCACACCCAGGCAAGGGUGCUGGGCCUUCUUAUUCCCACAUAGUCAGUUCCUUGCUGCCAGCCACCUCAGAGUGGAUGUCAACCCCCAGGCAUUCUGGCUCUUCCUGCUGGGAUUGAUGCAAUUCCAGUGGCCCCAGGGCAUCUUGUGAAGACCAUUGGUGUCAGCCUGGAAGCAAGUGAAGUGAGGCUGGGCUGUGGGCACUUAAAAAGAUCUCAGGGGGCACCAGCAGCCUCUAUUACACCCCAGGGAAGUGAACACUGGUAGCAUUUUAACAUUAAUUUCUUCAAACAAUUCUUAAUAUGAAAAUCUUAGAGAUCCAGGUAUGAAUUGGGAUAGAGAAAAACAAUCACAGCAUUGAUUGUACCUACAGGAAAACAGCAAAAUGUAAAAUCUCCUUACAUGAUGUCACACCUGGACCAGGAAAUAAGAAUGUGAGACCUGGACUCCUGUGUAUUAGAAUGCUAUGGGGACAAACUGCCAUUUUAUUCGCCUUCCUGCAUGACCACUAUCCGAGCAUGAUUAUCCAAUUCCCCCAGUGCGGCAAAAUUUUCAAGGGCUAUCUCUCAUGCCCAAGACAUCCGCCUGCCCUUUGACUACCCCGCUGCAUCAUGAAUCUUACUUACUUGGGCCAUUUCAGAGAAGAAAGAGAAAUGGAGGGUAAGAAUUGCAAAGAAGCCCCCAUGCUCCCCACAUAUGCUUCAGAGCAUUGAGCCAGCUCUUAUUGAUUUAUAGUGCCUGAAAAGAUCUGUCAGACUGAGAAGUGUGUGCUAAUCUAUUACUGAUGCCUACCACUGGUGCUGGAUGAGGAAGUAAAGACACAUCCAUGCAGGAGAGACUGUCUUAGGACCUCAUCUACUCUUGAGAGUACAUCUUCCUUCCCAAUACCUGUACUCUUCAUUUCACAUAAAUUGUAUUGACAAAAGAAAAAAGAAAGUAAUGGGUUUUAGAAUGCUUACAAUGUUCAGUGUAAAGUUUGGAAUUGGAAGGUAUAUAAAAGGAAUGGGGCAUAUCGUUUGUCCUAAAGAAAUGAACCAUUUCAAGAAUGAACCAUUACAGUCAGAGAGCAAUGCUUAAGACAUACAUAAUAAACUGGUAAGAGAAAAAUAAAUUCACAAGUGUCACCAUAUAUGUAAUUUCAGAUAAUCAAGAGCCUACUUAUAAACAGGCUUCUGGGUGUUCAUGAAACAAAGACAAGACUGUUCUAGAAGCACGGGAGAAAGUAAGAUUUGAGCAAAGCCCUGGAGGGUGAGUUGAAUUUGGAUGGGAAGGACAAGGGAGAAAGAGCUUUUCACUCAAAUGGGAAGAACAAGAGAAAAGAAGUCACAUUCUGUAAAUGCUCAGCAAAACCCUUGAAGGUUCUGAAGAUAGUUUUUCCUAUGCUUCACACAGAAACAAAGCCAUGCUUCCCCGGCCUGCCCACAUCCCCAGGCAGCUGCCAGGAGAGGCCCUUCACAGCUGGGGCUGCUCUCAAGAAACAGUGGUGCUCACCCUGUCUGCUGUCUGUGAGGGCAGAAGAUGGGAUCUUAAUGACCCCCAUCCAGGGUUUUCCUGUGCUGCCCAACCUGGUCCCAGGAACUCCAGCCAACACAUGGCCUCUAGCUAAUACUCCAGCAUGGACAAGCCUCCCCCAAGAAAAGGAUGAAAACAGCCAGCAAUGAGGGAAAGACAGCAGGACCUUCCCCCCCUUCCACCUGAAAAAGGUGAAACAGCUACCUUCCUCUACGACAACGAAUCACCACCAGCCACCUCUUGCCUGCUUCAUGAUUUAUUUUCCAGCAAUUGGCCUCGUAUUUAAUGAAAUCUGACCAGCAGUCAGAAUCCUAAUCAGACCCAGGACCGAAGGCCUCAAGCUGUCUCUCCAGACUUGCCCCCACUCCCAAGCCAGGAAGGGCUGACGACCUGUAAACAGAAGACAGAAGUGCAGGCCAAGGGAGAGAGUGCUCAAACUUGCACCAAGGCCCCUGUCUCCCCACAGUUCCCCAGAUACCCCCCAGCUUGCACCCCUCUCUUUUUCCUACAGAAGCAAGCCCUUCUCCUCUCACUCCGCUAAGCCAAAUACGUAGGAACCAAUUCCCCUUUCCAGAAGUCGAAGAUCAACUCCAAGCUGAGACUUGUUCUAAAAUAAUCAAGGGGGGUGAGAGGGUAGAGAAAGAGAUGUGGGAACAGAGAGAAAAAUUAAGGCUAUUGGCUCCCUGUCAUUUGGCAACGAACAUGACAAAACAAAGUUUACAGUUUUUAGAGGCUUUGUGGGGGGAGCCUCUAAUCCAUGCUGAUUUUAAAAACAACUUUUCAUCCUAUUCACUCAGUGCACACUGGUGAGGGAGGGGAAAUUUUGUUGCUCUAAGAACAAGAAACCUAUAAAUGGUACCUCCUUCAAAAUCCUCCCCCCCCAGUAUCCUGUCUCCUGGGGGGAUGGGACUCUUCAAGAAGAGUGCCUGACACUGUGGAUUAAUUACAAUAACAAUUUGCGUUUGUGAGGAGCUUUUAACUUUUCAAAGUGCUCUUCCAUCUAUCAUCCCACUUUAUCCUCCUGACAGCCUGGUGAUGCAGGUGGAGCCGGGAUUAUCAGGGCCAGCCUUCAGAGUAAGCAAAGCAGAUUAUGUACUCAGCGCAUCUGGGGGCCCAGGAUGGGACCGCCAGCCUCAGAGAAUCCCUCCCGACAAACUGCACCUGAAAAUGCCUCUCACAAAGAGCCCUUCCAUUCCACAAUGCAAAUAAGGCUUAAGAAGCAAAUAGCCUUUGGAAAGGUAACCCACUGACCAGUGUGUAAUGCGGGGCAAAACCACAGGCUAACAGAAAGCAAGACCCUAAAUGGAAAGAAAUGCAAAUUUCUGCACACAAGGCCACACGUAGAGGUCAGAGCAGUGGUUCACUUAUGCUCUGGCUGGGCCAGCAGAGCUCCAGCUCCCCGGCUGGACAUGGACAAUCUGUCUUCCGUCUCCAUCAGCUUGUGGUUUCCAGAAUUUGGGCUCAGAGACUCUUCCCUAUGCCAGUUCCCUUUGGCAGGAAAGACACCUUCUGGCAUCACCAUUACUAUUCCCAGUCCUUCACUCCUGCCAACCUCCUCAUGUUUUAUCUAUUUUUAUUUGAAUUGGUGAUCAAGGGAUUAACCCAGCUUAUACAAAUUCCAUCUUCCAAAAGCCAUUAUGGUGUAGUUGCAAUUGUGAUAUUUCACUCUCCAAAUGAAUCGAAUUGGAUUUUAAUGACAGUAGACUCCAUUAAGCAACACCUGAUUGGGUUAUUUCCUGGAAAUUUCAUCUUCAUUGUUUUCUCCAUCUAUGUUACCCAAAAAAACAUAGCAGAAGAGCUAUCAAGGACUGCUGCCAAGCUAUAAUGAAUUGUCCUUGAAACUGUGGUCACAUUUUCUUCUGUUUCUAACAAGUCAAACAUCCCUAUUUCAAACAAGUCAAACAAGACACCCUCAAUACAGUAUCAACUUCCAUGGAAAAAACUUCAAUAGUUUUUUUGUAGGUUACUUAGAAUUGUAGGGAACUAUAAUUCUUCCCAAAAAGCUCUCACACAAGAAACUCUCAUGUGAGAUACAUAAUUUAUAUGUAAUUUUCUAUUUUUUAAAUAACAUUAAAGCAUUUUUCUCCCUAGGUUGGAAAAGUCAACUUCAUUUUGUAUUUAUUUAUGUAACCCAAAUUAAGUCUAAGUCAAGUGAAGAGUAAGACAAUUACUCGGUGGAUCAGUCUGAAGAGGUCCAAUCUUACCUCUGACAGCACCCGACUUUAAGCAGUUCACAUCCUCCCUACAACGGAGUGUAUUUAGGAUCUUGACAGAGUCCAACAAUACAAGUCCCAGAGGGCCAGGGUAUGUUUGUCUUGUCCCCACUCUAGUUCUGGGGCUGUAGGAUGCCUGCCACUUAAUGGGUGAUCAGCACACGCUUGUUGGAAGCAUGAGUAGGUGAAUGUCUGGGAAUACCUGAGAAGUGUCCAGGCUCAGGAAAAACUACCCUAGUUUACCCUAGUAAUCAGUGCCUAUCAUCAGAAGAGAAGGAAAUGGUGAAACCAUUCUGCAUAAAUGGCCAUAUGUGUAUAAAGCAGAAUGGGACAGGUGAGAGAAGCAUACAGAAAUAGCAAUUUUGUCUUUCACCCCCUCAUUCAAAUUGAAAUACUCAGAUAAACACUCCAAAGAAAAUAUUCAUAAAAUGAAACCCUGGACUGAAGGUGCAAAUUAGCAUUUUCAAUUAACUGGAAUUUCUUUAUUCUUUUGAGAUUGCCAAACCACAAGCAAACCGGAAGAUAACAAAGAUUUAUACCACCACCAUCCCUCCCCAAGAGCAACAUUAGGGGCCAUGUCCUCAUGUGGCAAAUUUAAACUAAUAUAAUGCUAACCUGCACUUCAAUAAGGAAAAGUAUUAUUGAGCACCUACUGUGUAUGAUAUCCUUUGAGGAAUAUCGAACACAAAAAAUACAGGAUACAGAUUUAUACUAUUCAAGCUCACACUUUAGCUGGGAAGAUAAGACACAUGUGGAAUAAACAAUAAAGCCCCACCAUUAUUGAUUCAACAAGGCAAAGCAUAAAAACAGACAAGUUAAUGAGCAGAAAAGAAGUGCUACACUUUAGAAAACUGCAUUAUAAAUCUCCCUCUUACUAAAGAGAGCAGCCACAUGCAAAAUAUUUUAAAGCAAAUCCUAAAUAAUAAAUUAUAUAUUUUAAUGGGUAGCUGCCAAAUUAUUUUACUAUAAAAACUGCCAAAUUAAGGGUAUUAGCCAUGAAAAGACACAUUCCCAAAUUUCCUACAGAAGAGGGAUUUUCAAGCCAAUGUUAUUAAGUAUUUAAGAACAUACUGUUUGCUUUUUUGUUUUUUAUAUUUAUAUUUUUCAUGUAUUACUUUUAUAACUUAAGUAAAUAUUUUUUAAAUAUUUAGGAACAAAGCCUAAUUUAGUUUUCUAAUCACCCCCUAAAAUCUACUUGGGAUCCUUUCUCAACAUUCUUCAUGUUAAUAGGCCAUAUUAAACUGAAUUUGGACAAAUGUUCAGAAUGGAAUAUUUGAAUAAUAACCUUCUUAUAUUUUGAUAAAUGCUCAUUCACAUAUGUAAGACAAAGCAUUACAACUUGGAAAAUAAAUGAAUUCUGACACAUCAAAA